CCUACGGGGGGCAGCAGUGAGGAAUAUUGGUCAAUGGGCGCGAGCCUGAACCAGCCAAGUCGCGUGAGGGAUGACGGCCCUACGGGUUGUAAACCUCUUUUGCCGGGGAGCAACGGGCGUCACGUGUGGCGCCACUGAUAGUACCCGGAGAAAAAGCAUCGGCUAACUCCGUCCCAGCAGCCGCGGUAAUACGAGGGAUGCGUGCGUUAUCCGGUUUUAUUGGGUUAAAGGGGUGCGUUGGCGGAUGGUUAAGUCAGUGGUCAAAUUGAGGGGCCCACCCCCUUACCGCCAUUGAAACUGGCGCUCUUGAGUGGAAGAGAGGUAUGCGGAAUGCGUGGUGUAGCGGUGAAAUGCAUAGAUAUCACGCAGAACCCCGAUUGCGAAGGCAGCAUGCCGGCUUCCGACUGACGCUGAAGCACGAAAGCGUGGGGAUCGAACAGGAUUAGAUACCCUGGUAGUC
rnacentral:rRNA from 1 species